CGGAAGUGGAGCGCGAGGGGCGGCGGCCGCCUCGGGGCCGGGGAGGCCUGUCGGGAUGCUGCCCUGAAACCGGGUUUCUGAGGAGCUCUGUCGGAAUAAACUCACGAGGAAAGCGGCGGGCCACCGGCAACGCCGAGAGGGACCGUAGAUAUCGGGCUGUUGCUCGAGUGCUGGUAGAUCUCGCUGGAAUGUCGUGUUUCCACUCCCAGCUUUCCAUUUUGAUUACUUAGGAGUUUGUUAAAAGAAAAGACGAUAAUAUUUUUCAUGUUAGAUGUUUCAGGCAUCCUCAGAAGUACACGAGGACUGUGUUGCAUUGGCCUACAGUAAAACACUGAUCUCCACAAGCAGUCCCCACACUUUUGGGACUACAUAGAUGGUCGUGAGGUGUUCCUGUCCCAAGGACAUCUGAAUACUGCCACAUACCACGUGUGCAGCUGAAAUGUUUCAUCCUCUGUUACAUCCCAGUCAUGAUUGAUGGUCCAGGGAAGGAUUUAGGGAGGGCAACUUUAUUGAAUCAAGUCAGAGGAUGUUGUGGAUUUGGAGAUACUUGACCCACAAAGAGAUGUUGACUACAGAUUUGAAGCUCUUCAAAACUUCAAAGCUCUGCAAAGAGGUAACAGUUUGAAAGGGCAAGUUUCCAAGAUUUGUAGGACUGACCCUGAAACUCCAAAUAUCAGAGUGAAGAGGAACCAGAGGUAGUGUGCUGUUAAUAGCCUUUUGCUGGAAGCUGGGCUUUUGUCUUCUGUUUGCAUGUAGAACUGUGAAGUUCUGAUACCUUUGUAGACUUCUGUGAGCUACAAAAAUACCAAUAAUAGACUAAUACUAGCAAAAACAUCUGCAUGCCUUGAAUGCCAGGUUGGAUAGGGCUUUGAGCAGCCUGGUCUAGUGCAAGGUUCCCUGUCAAUGGCAGAAUGGUUGAAACAAAAUCAUCUUUUAAGGUUCC